CACAAAAGAAUGAGAAUCGUCAAACCUGGACCAGGAGAAAAGAAAUCAACGAAAAAAUAAAGAAAAAACAAUGGCAGUUGGUGUAAUUAAAGUAAAAAAGAAGGGCAAAAGUGAAAAAUUGAAGAGGAAAUUACCUGACGAUACAUUUCCUUCCUAGGCGAUUCCGUCAAGCCACGACAAAACCAGAGGGGGAGGAGAAGAAGCUGAAGAUCCACUCUAGUUUCCUUGCAGUCUUUGCCACUUAGGCAUAGACAAGAGAUUUAAUUACAGACAAAAAGGGAGGGUAUAUUCGUCAAAAUAAUAUAAGAAAUUAAAAAGAAAAAUAAAAUCUGAGCUGGGGUAUGCGCUGUCGUGUAUUUACUUGCACAGGAAGCAGCAACGUUCCCUAGGCAAAAGCCGGCUCAUUACUACUGCACCGCUCUCGAUAUAUUUAUCUCCUUUGUAAUUUUUACUUUUUAAUUUUUCAGUUUAGUAAUAAUUACUGCUAAUUUUUAUAUUUUUCUCUCUCUACAGUGUUCAGCUUGUAUUGUUUGUGUUUGUAGGAUUCCCACCUAUUUCCCCAAACACGCACUAAAGAGAGAAGGAAAGUGAAGCUUAGAGAGAAAAAGGGAACCAGAAACAAAGACCUAAAGGGGAAAUUUCUAGAGAGAGAAACACCCAGCCUCCGACGGAAAUGCCCUUUCCUAAUCCUCCUCCGGCUUUUCCAUUGGUACCGCUCAAAACAUAGGAGCUCAGCAAAUGCAGCAGUGAAGUUAUAGAAACAGCACAGAGAGAGAGAGACAGAGAGAAGAAGAAGAAGAAAUCAGAAGGGGGUAUUUUAUGAGCCAAAAAUGCGUGGGGGACUUCUUGUUGAUGAGCGGAGUGACGUCGUUUCCAGUGCUAAGAAGAAGAAAUCAGGAGAGGGAGAUAAGGUUCUAGUUCUAGUGGCAGACAAGGAUAACUCAAAAUCGCUUCCACUGAUAGUUUCUGUCCCGCAACAACCUAUUGUCGUUAACCGUGCUCGAUCCCAGUCCGCCACUCGCAGGGUAACGCCCACCAACACCAUCACCGCCGCAGAAGUUGAUACCGGCAACACCGGCUCCUCCACUGCUGCGGAGAAGCUUCUCCCCAACGGUGACCUUUACAUGGGGUCAUUCUCGGGAAACGCGCCGCACGGAUCGGGGAAGUACCUCUGGACUGACGGGUGUAUGUACGAGGGGGAGUGGCGUCGGGGAAAAGCAUCGGGUAAGGGGAAGUUUUCUUGGCCGUCAGGUGCGACCUUUGAAGGAGAAUUCAAGUCGGGUCGGAUGGAAGGGUUCGGCACAUUUAUCGGAUCAGACGGGGACACCUACCGUGGCUCCUGGAGCGCCGAUCGUAAACAUGGGCCUGGCCAGAAACGGUACGCGAAUGGGGAUUUCUACGAGGGAAUGUGGAAGAAGAAUCUCCAAGAUGGGAAAGGAAGAUACGUGUGGAAAAAUGGGAAUGUGUAUGAUGGUGAAUGGAAAAACGGUGUCAUUUCAGGGAGAGGGGUUUUGAUGUGGGCAAAUGGGAAUCGCUACGAUGGGCAAUGGGAAAAUGGAGUACCAAAGGGAAAUGGGAUUUUUACAUGGCCAAAUGGGAGUUGUUAUGUCGGUACCUGGAACAGUAAUAAAGAUAUAAUCGCUCAGGAAUUGAAUGGGGCUUUCUAUUCUGGGAAUAGCAAGGAACAUUGCUUGAAGGGGAGCGAGAACGAUUUGGCCUUGCCGGCAACGGCGACGAGGAAGAGGUCGUCGGUGGAUGGGGCCAGAGGUAGUAACAUGAAUUUUCCGAGGAUUUGUAUAUGGGAGAGUGAUGGUGAGGCUGGGGAUAUUACUUGUGACAUUAUUGAUACUGUCGAGGCUUCUAUGAUUUAUAGGGAGGGGUUGGAUCGGGAUGGGAUUAGGCAAUUUCGAAGAGGGUCGUGUUGUUUUAAUGGUGGAGAGGUGAAGAAGCCCGGAGAGACGAUUUCUAAAGGGCAUAAGAACUACGAUUUGAUGCUUAAUCUGCAAUUGGGUAUCCGGUAAUAUUUUUAUUAGCUUUUGUGGUAUGGGUUUCUGGGUUUUAAUCUGUAUGUUGGACUCUGAUUUUUGUACCGUUAAUUCUAUAUUGAGCGUGUGCAUUUUGGAGCUAGAUUUUGUUUGACUUUGUAAUAGUAUUGUAUUUAGGUAUUCUGUUGGGAAGCACGCCCAGAUUCGGAGGGACCUGAAGCCCAGUGAUUUUGAUCCUAAGGAGAAGUUCUGGACUAGGUUUCCACCAGAAGGAUCAAAGAUUACACCUCCACAUCAAUCCGUGGAGUUUCGGUGGAAGGACUAUUGUCCUAUGGUCUUUAGACAUUUGAGGGAGCUUUUCCAAGUUGAUACUGCUGAUUAUAUGCUAGCCAUAUGUGGUAAUGAUGCCCUCAGAGAACUGUCGUCUCCGGGGAAGAGUGGAAGCUUCUUUUACCUUACUCAGGAUGAUAGAUUUAUGAUCAAGACAGUAAAGAAAUCAGAAGUCAAGGUGCUAAUUAGGAUGCUUCCCAGUUAUUACCAGCAUGUUUGUCGGUAUGAAAAUUCACUGGUGACAAAAUUCUUUGGUGUGCAUUGUGUUAAACCAAUUGGCGGGCAAAAGACCCGUUUCAUUGUGAUGGGCAAUUUGUUCUGCUCUGAGUAUAGAAUACAUAGGAGAUUUGACCUAAAAGGAUCCUCCCAUGGCCGAACAACAGAUAAGCCUGAGGGUGAGAUUGAUGAAACCACAACUCUUAAAGACCUGGAUCUCAAUUUUGUGUUUCGUCUUCAACGAAAUUGGUACCAGGAGCUUAUCAAGCAAAUUAAUAGAGAUUGUGAAUUUUUGGAAGCUGAGAGAAUUAUGGAUUAUAGUCUUUUGGUUGGUCUUCACUUCCGUGAUGAUAAUAAUUAUGACAAAAUGGGGUUGUCACCAUUUGUUCUGCGUUCUGGAAAUAAGGAUUCCUAUCAAAAUGAAAAGUUCAUGCGUGGCUGCCGCUUCCUUGAGGCGGAGCUACAGGACAGAGAUAGGAUUUUAUCUGGCCGGUAUUUUUCUUGUUUCUUCUGGUUUUGGCUCAUUAGUUACUUCUGCAGCAACAAUGUUAGCUAAAUGUGAUUCAAUGGGGAUAAAAAAGACGAGAUAAGGGCUUCUGCUGAAUCAGUAUUUGACAAAUAAAUAUUCAUGUAAUUGAUAAUUGCUAAAAUGAAUUGCAAAAAUAUGUGGUUGACUGUUGGUUUUGGCAUUACAGACGGCCAAUAAUUUUUUCAUGCAAUUUAUCUUUGUCAAUAGAAUAAUGGAAAGUGGCUUCUGCUGUGUGCAAUAUAUUUGUGGGGCUCGUUCUGGAGACAAAAGUUGUUUGUGGGGCUUAUACUAGGUGGUCCUAUCCCUUACUGUAUAAGAGCCAAGGCUUCAUUUUCAAUUUUUUUGCUGAAUGCAUCUCUGAUCUGAAUUUUUGAGUAUAUAUAUACACGAGUUUGAGUUUCAGUGGAGGGCAUAAAUUAUGUUUAUUUCAUAUGAUACAUGCGGCUGGCAAACUAUGAUCAUAUUCAUCAUAUUUUAUUUGUUCCUUUAUUAUCAAUGGUUCCCAUUAUGAUUUUUGAUGAUUUGUGUUAUGAUUUCUAUCAAUUUGUAUUGAAGUGUACCAACUUCCUGAAAAUUAAAAUUUUAGUUAUAAUUGUGGAUGGGCUGUAAAUACUGAGGUCAUUGAAAAUAAAUGUGGGUUUUGCAGGAAAUCUCUGAUAAGAUUGGGAGCAAACAUGCCAGCAAGAGCAGAACGGAUGGCUCGGAGGAGUGAUUUUGAUCAGUACACCCCUGGUGGGAUUAGCUAUUUGACCCCUUCUAGAAGUGGUGAGGUAUAUGAAGUAGUCCUUUAUUUUGGGAUCAUCGAUAUCUUACAAGACUAUGAUAUUAGCAAGAAGUUAGAGCAUGCCUACAAAUCUUUACAAGCUGAUCCAUCCUCAAUUUCGGCAGUGGAUCCAAAACUCUACUCAAAGAGAUUCAGGGAUUUCAUUGGGAGAAUAUUUAUAGAAGACAGGUAGCAACAGGAAUGAAGUUGCAAGUAGAACCUUGUCUUUUACAAGAAAAGAAAGUGAAUUUGCUUGAAUCUGAAUGCACCCUUUUUAAGGGCAGAAGUUAUGGAACUGCACUGUUCUUGGUAAUAGAUUGAGCGAAUAAUUUGAUCAAGCCACUGCAGAUGUGGUUGGAGAGCUCGCAGCGGGUUUUUGAUGAUGGUGUACCUGGCUGAAUUUUGAAGACCAGCCGCAGUGAUGAAGGGGAAAGUACUUGCACAUUUUGGGGUAGGGGGAGGGGAGGAGGAUGGAAACUUGGAUUCUAAUUUCCGUCUUUCUUAAAAAUAUUUAGGGAAAUAUUUUUUUGUGGUAACCAAGGGUUAUGAAUUGUGAAGAUUUGAAAGAUGGGUAUAGGGAACAGGGAAAAUGUUUCCCAGAGAGAAGAUUCAAAAUCGGAGGAGACUUGGAAUAAGAAAGUGUACAGCUUAAUACACAAAAAGAGAUGGAUGGUUUAUAAAAUUUCGUGAUUUUUUUUUUGAGACUUUCGAAAAGAAAAAAUGUUUGAAUCACCCCAUGGGAUUUCUCUCUAUCUCUUUCUCUUCCUGUCCUUUUUAACAGUCGUAUAUAAAUGGACAGCUCAGUUGUAUAGAAAUGGGGUCAUUGCAUUGCUUUUUACAGUGAAAGGGAGGCACUGGGCAGAAGAGUUAAAACAUGAAAAGCAGAGAAAGCAUGAGAAAGAUGCGCUGAUGUUUCUUGUUCUUGCUUUGCUUUGUUUACCAUCUCUCUAUUUCUUUAUUGAUCUUUGUAUUUUUACUUGUUUUUGGAAAGGAAUAUUCGUAUGAGAAAUUAUCCCGUUUCUACUGUUAUUCUUUGGUUAUUGGAGAAAUUGAGGGCAAUUUGGUAAAUUACACAAUGGGUUUUGUUGGGAAUGAAACAAAUGGGUUUUAACAGGAGAGGUCAAAGUGAUGGGGUCAAAUAUACACCUACGGUUAGGUGUUUUUUUUUUUUUUUAUUGGCCUUUUUGACCCAUCUAUGGUGGUUGCUCGCUUUUGGGACCUUAUAUUGUCUGUUUACUUAGACCCAAAGCUCGGGUCUUUAUCAAUAUGACUGCGAUAUGUGGAGCCAUCUCUC
rnacentral:misc_RNA from 1 species